GGUGUGUGGUGUAUAUAGAGGGAAGAUGUGACCGAUGGCUCUAUGACUCCGUUGCUCCUUGCAUUUGUCUUUUGUUUGGGGUUUGAAGUAGCGUAGCAAGGAGCAAAGCGUGAUCGGGGCACCGGAGGCAAGUCGAGCAAGGCAAGUGGUGACUGGUGGGGCUGAAGUAGCAGCUCUUUUCUGAGUUGUUGUGUUGCUGGUGAAGUUAUAAGCAACGCGUGUCGUUUGGGUGUUACGGAUGGCGGGUGAGCUGAACACGGCACCUGGAAGUGACGUAGGCCGGGUGGGAGGCUGUCGAGGGAAAGGAGUGUAUCUGUAUCGUGAAGAAAAUCCUGCACGGCUGAUUCCACUUGCUGCUCAGGUAAUAGCACAUAUGGGGCUGGGGGAGUGGGGAGAAACAUUUGUGAGUUCAAGGAUGCUACAGGUAGUCCACAUCAAAUGCAGAGAAAAGGCAAAUUUGCUGCCAGUGCAGAAAAGCUGAUGAAAAAUUGCAGUCGACAGAACCUGCCUCAUUCCUGAGUUAGUCCCUUGGUUGUUACAAAUGUUUUCCUUUCAGGUAAAAUAAUGAACUUUUGUCUGUGAUGAAUUAAGAGCUGCCUGUUACCUUCUUUAGGGUCAAGUGUUUCUCUUCUGUUUGUUCAUACUAAUUUUAUGGCAGAAUGUCAGCUGCCACCAUUUCACUAUAGUCACCCUUUUUCUGCCAUGAAAGUACGAGACAGAUGGAAAGAAUCCAUAGUGGUCUGCAGUACAAGGUAUGUAUGCGAUGUGUGCCUGCAUUUUCCCUAAGGUAUUUGUAGUAUGGACUUUAAAGUUAACAUUAAGAAUGUACCAACUCUCUUUCUAUAGUUUUUCUAUGAAAUAUUUUAACACAAAUACUAAAAAGGUCUGUUCUGGAGCGUGUUAUGCCUGUGCAAAGCUUACUUCCCUCCAUUUGUUUUCUCCCCCUGAAAGCGUAAUCAUGUUAAAAGAGAAGCUGCAGCCUGAGCAUUCACAUGCCAUUCAGGGAGUUGGACAGAUGCCACCUGAGACUUAACUGCUAGGACCGGAGUCCCUUUGCAGCAGGCAGCUCCACUGAGCUGACGGGUACCCCUUUUCGACUCCUUGCUCACACACACUCCCUCUUGGGCACUUUUUCUCCUCUCAGGCUCGACCCUGGGUUUCCCUGAAGCACAGUCUCAACACGAUGUAUGCCAGGCAAAUUUCUUGAGUGAUACAGCAGUGAAGAGCAGCUUGAGGUGGGUAACCCUGGAGAGGGACCAGGAAAAAAGGAAUCUCUGGGUGAUUAUACCCUUACAAUCUAAGUUCCCCUCCCCUCACCCGAUGGUUCGGUCCAAUAGCAAUAUUUGGGUCUGGGGUCUCCUUUUUCCUGAUUGGAUCCUUUCUCUGUCUCCAGGCAGGACAUUCCUUUUCUUAUCUUAAUGGAUGCAGCUUCUGCUGAAGGUUGUGGCUACCUUGUCUGGUUUGCACUGGUUUCGGGGCUUUCCUUCACGUAGCUAAGUAAACGUUCAGUGUACGGUCAGCAUAUCUAAGUGAAAGUUCCCAGUUUGUGGCCUUAAGGCUUUAGCAAGCCUUGCUACUGAUGCCACGUAUUGGAUUCCAUUUGAGCUAGGAUGUGACUUUUACAGUCGUCUGUUUCUGUGUGCUUACUAUUAAAUGAUACUGUGAAAAUAAUUUUGUACUAAAAGAGGAAAGAAACUGUUAGUAAGAGUUCAGAUGUUUAGAAGAAAGAGACUUUGUUUUCACGUGGCCUGGUUUCGGCUGGGAUAGGGUUAAUGUUCUUUCUAGUAGCUGGUACAAUGCUGUGUUUUGGAUUUAGUAUGAGAAUGAUGUUGAUAACACACUGAUGUUUUAGUUGUUGCUAAGUAAUGCUUACACUAGUUAAGGACUUUUCAGCUGCCCAUGAUCUGCUAGGUGCACAAGAAGCUGGGAGAGGGCACAGCCAAGAUAGCGGACUCCAACUGGCCAAAGGGAUAUUCCAUGCCAUAUGACAUCGUGCUCAGUAUGUAAACCAUGGGGAGCUGGCUGGGGAGGAGCAAUUGCUGCUCAGGGACAGGCUGGGUGUCGGUUGGCAGGUGGUGAGUGGUUGCAUCGCUUGUUUUUCCUGGCUUUUGUCCUGUUUCCCCCUCUGUCCCCCUCCCCCCUUGUUUUCCUUUUCAUUAAAAUUUAUUAUUAUUAUUUUAAUUAUUAAAGUGUUCUUAACCCACAAGUUUCCUUACUUUUGCCCUUCAGAUCAUCUCCCCCAUCCCACUAGGGGUGGAGGGGGUGAGCGAGCAGCUUUGUGGUGUUUAGCUGCCUGCCAGGUUAAACUACAACAUCAUGAUAAAAGCUUUAUGCUUUUUCAUUCAAUAAGUUGUUUAAAUACCUUAUGGUAGGACUCAACCUUACUGAGAUACUAGCGUCUAAAAAGUAAUCAAGGUCAAAGAGGAGAUGUGGACAAGAUAGGACAAAUUGGCGUCGCUUCAGCAUGUUUUCCAGGCUUUCCCAAGAAGCAUUAGCAGCCUUGUAACUAGUGACGGUGAGUCCUGAUGUGGUUUUGGUGAGUUACUGCUUCAGUAGUGUACUUCUUCAUUAACCUACAGUGUGCAAUUUUUGAUUCAGUUGGAAAGUGAUUUUUCAGAAUGGAAAUCUUUCUCAUUCAAAGAAGUUGCAUUUUAUAAACUUCCAUCAGAGCGAGUCUUCAGAGAUAUGGUGUACUUUGCAGUAGAAGUCAUCAGCCUUUUCACUCAUCACAAGACUUUCAGUCCUCAGAAGACUUAUCACUCCCUUGGAAAAAAAAAAAAAAAGUCAAUUUCCUUCCAAAGACCCAAGUGCAGCACAUCUUCCAAAAGUUGAUGGCAUUGCUGGUCUUUGUUUCUCAGUUGUAACAGUCGAGGUAUCAUAAAAUAUGUUCCUCUGUGUGCUUCAGUACAAGCAAAUACAUUAGCAAAUCGGCCAGUCCUUUUUGGUAGCCUUAUGUAUUGUACAACUGCAGAUAUGAUUCCCCUGCCACCAAAGUAAAACCACAUGGGGGAGCUCUUAUGUCACUGAUUUAUUUUUUUUUUUAAUCAUAAAUGAAAGUUUAAAAAAAGGUGAAAUUGAUGAUUUACAAACUGAUUUGCAUUCUUUAAACUGUAACUGCCGAAUAGCUAUAGUAUAUGAUUUAUUAGGUGUAUUUAAGCAGUUAGGUAUUUAAUGAGAGAGGCGACUGAAUAUUUUGGGGUCUUUUGUCCGUGAUAUUUUGAGGGACUGUUGUAAAGUACAUUAUUUCUGUCUCGCUUUCAAUGGUGCAUUUCCCUGGCAGUUCAGCAGCAUCUCUUGGGCAGGGCAGCUGGGCGGAUGUCCCUCCUGACUCCAUAACGUGCAAAAGCCCCUUAGUCAAGUUACUGCUAUUUUAGAGGUAGAUAAUCUAAUGGUGUGCGUUAACAACUGUGCAAGUUAAAUUAUUGCAAAAGGAAAAUGGUAUGUUUUUAUAGCUUAGGUAUUUUUAUUGAAUGUGUAUAAACACACGCACACCUUUUUAGCAUAGACUGAACUACUGAGAUUUGUUGUUUAUUUUUUAAAGUUUACUUUUGUUUUGUUGUUUACUUUAUUUUGUUGUUUAGUUUUGUUGUUUACUCUUUAAAGUUUGACACUUCAUUUUUGGCUUUAUUGACCAAGUAAGCAAGAUGUGCAGCAGGGAAAGUGCUGUGGCUGUUAUGGCGGAUCUGUAAGUGUAGACUCUGAUUAUGGUACACCCUUAUCCUGCAGCCUCACAGGGUUAUCUCACCGCAGCAGUGCUGUAAGGAAUGGAUGGGACUUCUUCUGACACCAGCAGGAGUGUUUAGUUUUAUGUGAAGAAUCUGUUCAAAAUGGUAUCAAUUAGUCUUAAUACUACAUUUAUCUGUUCAAAUCACACUAGCUUUUAAAGGAUGUGUUGUACUUAGAGCUGACCUGUUUACCUAGAAUACUCUGGCUCAAUUUACUUCCUACCCCUUAUUCUCACUGAAUUCCGGCAUUUUCUUCUGUGCUAUUCUUUCAAUAUGCUAAAAUGUAGUUUGGGAUUUGUGUUUUUCAGAUGUCUUGUAGGUGUCUUGUGAUGUUCAACGGAUACCCCCCCAGCUCAGGUUUGCCUGCUGGUCGUAAGCAUACUGAAGACAAAAUACAGCUUGGGAUUGCUGUUUUUCAGAUGUCUUCUAAGUGUCUUGUGAUGCUCAAGAGGCUGUCGAGGGAAAGGAGUGCGAGACGGGGAUCGGUGCGGGCAGGCUGUGGCAUCGGGCAGCAUCUCAGGAGGUGCCUUUUCGCUUGGCUUUUUGCAGGUGCCGCUGGCAGGCUCGGAGUGGUGCUGCCGCAUGCCUAUGAGAGGUCUGAGAAGGUGGGGCAGCGGCCAGCAUCUGAGACCAGAGAAUGCUGUGGUCCGUCGUCGAGCUCUUCAGUUUUGUAGGUAACACGUGGGCCAUCUUUGGAACGGCGUAUGAGCAUUAGAAGCGAGCUGGGUAGUAAUGAGGAAGUCACGGGGCGGUGAUUUCUCACGAGCGUAACGGUAGUUUACUGUGUGUUGAUACAUUUGGUGCCACAAGUGAUGAUGGAAGUGGGGUGUGAUGCUGGAAUCUGUGCAUAGCAGGUGAGCCGAUGGGCGAGUUCCUUUUGAUGAGGGGGGUGCUCUGGAAGAGAUCUGUGUUGACCCGUGUGAUACUUAUUGCUGGCCUUGGUGUUUUGUUUUUUUUUUUUACGUGAUGAAGAGGCACCUGGCCACUGCAAGAAUAUCCUGGUUAGCUGGUGUGUUUCUUGUUGUGAAAGGAUUCAUAAUCUGGCCCAUCUGAAAGCCCCGCAGUGUGACUUUUGUUAGGAAGAGAUUUUGAAAAAUGGAGAUAUUUCUUAUUCAGUGAGGUUGCAUUCUAUGAACUUGCCAUCAGAGUGCAUCUUAGAGACAAUGUCUUUGUCAGUAGAACUCAUCAGCACAAGACUUGCAAAGUAUUGCGUUUUUUUUUAAAGAUAAAAAAAUCAAUGGUCCUUGCGGAGAUCCAAGCACAGCACAUAAUCCAAAUGUUGAUGGCAUUGGUAGUGCUUGGGUUCUCAGUUGUAACAGUCGAGAUACCAUAAAAUACGGUUCCCCUGCAUGCUUCGGUACAGCCAAAUGCAUUAGCAUAUCUGCCGGUCCUUCUUGGUAGCCCCAUGUAUUGCAACACUGGGGAUUUGAUUUGUGUGGUUUUUUGUUGUGGUAUUUUUUUUUUCCCCCAAAAAGUAAAACCAUAUUGGGGAUCUCUUCUGUCAUAAAUGAAAGUUUAAAAAAAGCUAACAUUGUCUGAUUUACGACGUGACUUGCGCUGUUUCAGCUGUAACUGCCAAGCAGAUGUAGGGUACGAUUUGUUAGGUGUACUUAAGCAGGUAGGUAUUUGUUGUAAAUAUUUAAUGAGAGGCGACUGAAUGUUGUGGGGGACUUUUUUCCCCGCCGGUAUUUUGAGGGAGCGCUCUUAAGUAUUUUAUUUCAGUCUCGCUUUGGAUGCGCGUUUCCCUGGCAGUUCAGCAGCAUCUCUUGGGCGGGGCAGCUGGGCGGACGUCCCUCCCGACUCCAUAACACGCCAAAACCCCCCAGUCACGUUGCUGCUGUGUAUUUUGGAGAUAGAUAAUCUUAUGGCGGGUGUGAACGGCUGUGUGAGUUAAAUGAACGCAGAAGGAAAAUGGAAAGCUUUCAGAGCCUAGACGCUCAUAUUGGAUGUGCGUAAACACGCGCCCGCCUUCUCAGCACAAAGUGCAUUACUGAGAUUUAUUCUUAAUUUUUUACGUUACUCUUUCAAGUUUGACGCUUCGCUUCAGGCUUCAUGGAGCCAGGCAGCAAGACGUGCGGCGGCAGGGCGAGGGCUGUAGCUGCUGCGGUGGAUCUGUAAGCGGAGGUUCCGGUUCCGGUACAACUUUGCCCCGCAGCCUCACGGGGUUAUCUCCCCGCAGCGGUGCCGUAAGGAAGGGAUGAGACGUUUUCCAGCACCAGCCAGAGCGUUCAGUGUUACGCGAAGAAUCUGUUCAAAAUGGUAUCAGUUAGUCUUAAUACCGUUUUCAAGUGUUCCAGUCCCUCUAGCUUUUAAAGGAGGUGUUGUGUUUUGACAUGACCCGUUUGCCUAGAAUCUUGCUGCGGCUCAAUUUCCUUCCUAUCCCUUGUGCUGACUGAGUUCCUCCAUUUUCUUCUGUGCUAUUUUAUUAAUGUGCUGAAAUAUAGUUUGGGAUUUCUGUUUUUCAGAUGUCUUCUAAGUGCCUCGUGAUGCUCAAGAGAUGCCCCCCGGCCCGGGUUUGCCUGCCGGGCGUUAAGUGUGGUGAAGGUAAGGGGCCAUCCCUCUGCCUGGGGGCUCCCGGCUCUGUCUCCAGCGGGUGCCCCGCAGGUGCGGCCGCGAGGGCUGCCUGGUGGGGAGAGUCGGGGCCCCCAGGGGCCGGGGUGGUUUGUCGCCCCGGGGAGCCCGUCCCAGCAUGGGAACAGAGCGGGAGCAUGGCUGAGCAGAGCCCGAGAGAGACGUGACACUGUCCUCUGGCACGCUCCCGCUCCGCCGUGGGGCAGCCGCCAGCCUGCAGACAGGGGCUGGAGGGGCUGCAGCUGUUUGGGGGGCUGCCCCACCUUUUAGAUUUAAGCAGAGCUCCCCCUUUUUUGGGGGGUGGGGGGUGUGUGUACCUUUGUAAAUGGCACUAUUAAAGCUGCAGGUUGGAGCAGAUUCCCUUGUUUAGUGCCCUUCUUGGGGGUGAAUAAAAUUGCGGGAGGGUGUGUGUGUGUGAUGAUGUCAUGCGGGGUGCCCCGGUGUCACUGGGGGAGCUGAUAAUGCAUCAGAGGAACAGGUGAGUGGGGGUGUCAUGUAGGGGUUCCCCCCCAAAAAGGGGGGUUGCAGCCCCAAAAUGCCUGAAAAUUCAGGGGGGCUAUUACAAAAACCUCUUAUUUUAUAUAUAUUGAAAUGUAAUAUUAAUUUAUAGGUGUAUAAAGGGAUUUUAAAAUAAGAACUUAUCUCUCCUAUAUUAUAUAACGGAUUUCAGGAUACAAAAAUUCUACAUCGAGAUACAGGGUUUUAAAACACAAAAGUAACUCGACUGUCUAUAUAUCUACAUUAAAAAAAUAAAGGAGUUUAAAAUGAAGAAAAAGGAUAGAUGAAGGAAUUCAAAGCAGAAGAAAGUCCGACUAGAGCGAGCAUCUACGCUUAGUGUGUGUUACAUAGUCUAAGCAGAUGUGUAAUCUAAAUAGAGGUUAUAUAGAGUGAAAUAAGUCUAGGUAUAACUGUAAGUAGAUGUCUAAAUAGAGAAGUCGAAAAAGAUUGAAGUGUCAAAGUGUAAGUAAACAGAUAGCUAGUCUAAAUAGGUGUUUUAUAUACGUGUUAAUAUGGAAGUCUAAACAGGUAUGUGUAAAUAGAUAUUCUGUGUAAGUGUAAAUAGCCUAAAUAAGUGUAAGUGUAAAUUUAAUAGCUAAGUCUAAACAGGUAUUGUAUGUAAAUGUAAAAUAGCAUAUAUAAAAUAUAGAUAUACUCUGUAAGGAUGUGUAAGUAGACACAAGUGCAAAUGUCUAUGCUAUAUAAGGUUUUUAAAAUGCAAAGAAACCAUGUUGAUAGAGAUGUUUAUAGAGAGGAUUUAAAAAUUAGACACACACCCCACCCCCACCCCCCAAUCAACAGAA